GACGGGGGGUCCUAGCGUUGUUCGGAAUUAUUGGGCGUAAAGCGUGCGUAGGUGGCUAUGUAAGUCAGGAGUGAAAGCCCUGGGCUCAACCCAGGAAGAGCUUUUGAUACUGCAUAGCUUGAAUGUGGGAGAGGAUAGUGGAAUUCCAGGUGUAGUGGUGAAAUACGUAGAUAUCUGGAGGAACACCGGUGGCGAAGGCGGAUCUCUGGGCCUUACCUGACGCUCAGGUGCGAAAGCUAGGGGAGCGAACAGG
rnacentral:rRNA from 1 species